GACGAACGCUGGCGGCGUGCUUAACACAUGCAAGUCGAACGGUGAAGCGCCUUCCUUUUUGGUGGGUGUGGAUGCGUGGCGAACGGGUGAGUAACACGUGAGUAACCUGCCCCCUUCUUCUGGAUAACCGCAUGAAAGUGUGGCUAAUACGGGAUAUUCUGGGUCUGUCGCAUGAUGGGUCUGGGAAAGAUCUUGUUUCGGUGGGGGAUGGGCUCGCGGCCUAUCAGCUUGUUGGUGGGGUGCUGGCCUACCAAGGCGGUGUGGGGUAGCUGGCCUGGGAGGGUGGACGGCCACGCGGGGGCUGAGACGCGGCCCAGACUCCGACGGGAGGCAGCAGUGAGGAAUAGUGCACGAGGGGCGCAAGCCUGAUGCAGCGACGCGGCGGGAGGGAUGGAGGCCUUCGGGUUGUGAACCUCUUUCGCCAGUGAAGCGGGCCUGCCUCGUCUGUGGGUGGGUUGACGGUAGCUGGAUAAGAAGCGCCGGCUAACUACGUG
rnacentral:rRNA from 1 species